AUCUUUGCGCUUGGGGCAAUGACGUAGCUAGUGAGUUAAAACCGAGGCGCAUCAAUUUCUGGUUGAAAACUAUUUCCAACCCCCCUCGUUGGCCUGGGCUACGCUUUGGCCUUCUUGAAUUUUUGGAGGGUCCGCCCUUGGCUCGGGC
rnacentral:snRNA from 1 species